AGUGAACGCUGGCGGUAGGCCUAACACAUGCAAGUCGAACGGCAGCACAGUAAGAGCUUGCUCUUACGGGUGGCGAGUGGCGGACGGGUGAGGAAUACAUCGGAAUCUACUUUUUCGUGGGGGAUAACGUAUGGAAACUUACGCUAAUACCGCAUACGACCUACGGGUGAAAGCAGGGGAUCUUCGGACCUUGCUCGAUUGAAUGAGCCGAUGUCGGAUUAGCUAGUUGGCGGGGUAAAGGCCCACCAAGGCGACGAUCCGUAGCUGGUCUGAGAGGAUGAUCAGCCACACUGGAACUGAGACACGGUCCAGACUCCUACGGGAGGCAGCAGUGGGGAAUAUUGGACAAUGGGCGCAAGCCUGAUCCAGCCAUACCGCGUGGGUGAAGAAGGCCUUCGGGUUGUAAAGCCCUUUUGUUGGGAAAGAAAAGCAGCAGGUUAAUACCCCGCUGUUCUGACGGUACCCAAAGAAUAAGCACCGGCUAACUUCGUG
rnacentral:rRNA from 1 species